rnacentral:rRNA from 1 species
UACGAAGGGUGCAAGCGUUACUCGGAAUUACUGGGCGUAAAGCGUGCGUAGGUGGUUCGUUAAGUCUGAUGUGAAAGCCCUGGGCUCAACCUGGGAAUGGCAUUGGAUACUGGCGACCUAGAGUGCGGUAGAGGGGUGUGGAAUUCCCGGUGUAGCAGUGAAAUGCGUAGAGAUCGGGAGGAACAUCAGUUGCGAAGGCGGCUCUCUGGACCAGCACUGACACUGAGGCACGAAAGCGUGGGGAGCAAGACGGA